GAUGAACGCCGGCGGCGUGCCUAAUACAUGCAAGUCGAGCGAACAGACGAGGGGCUUGCUCCUCUGACGUUAGCGGCGGACGGGUGAGUAACACGUGGAUAACCUACCUAUAAGACUGGGAUAACUUCGGGAAACCGGAGCUAAUACCGGAUAAUAUAUUGAACCGCAUGGUUCAAUAGUGAAAGACGGUUUUGCUGUCACUUAUAGAUGGAUCCGCGCCGCAUUAGCUAGUUGGUAAGGUAACGGCUUACCAAGGCAACGAUGCGUAGCCGACCUGAGAGGGUGAUCGGCCACACUGGAACUGAGACACGGUCCAGAUUCCUACGGGAGGCAGCAGUAGGGAAUCUUCCGCAAUGGGCGAAAGCCUGACGGAGCAACGCCGCGUGAGUGAUGAAGGUCUUCGGAUCGUAAAACUCUGUUAUUAGGGAAGAACAAAUGUGUAAGUAACUAUGCACGUCUUGACGGUACCUAAUCAGAAAGCCACGGCUAACUACGUG
rnacentral:rRNA from 1 species